GUGGGGAAUAUUGCACAAUGGAGGAAACUCUGAUGCAGCGAUGCCGCGUGAGGGAAGAAGGUUUUCGGAUUGUAAACCUCUGUCUUAAGGGACGAUAAUGACGGUACCUUAGGAGGAAGCUCCGGCUAACUACGUGCCAGCAGCCGCGGUAAUACGUAGGGAGCGAGCGUUGUCCGGAAUUACUGGGUGUAAAGGGAGUGUAGGCGGGAUGGUAAGUUAGGUGUGAAAUGCGGAGGCUCAACCUCCGAGCUGCACUUAAAACUGCUGUUCUUGAGUGAAGUAGAGGUUGGCGGAAUUCCCAGUGUAGCGGUGAAAUGCGUAGAUAUUGGGAGGAACAUCAGUGGCGAAGGCGGCCAACUGGGCUCAAACUGACGUUGAGGCACGAAAGCAUGGGGAGCAAACAGGAUUAGAAACCCUAGUAGUCC
rnacentral:rRNA from 1 species